GAUGAACGCUGGCGGCGUGCCUAAUACAUGCAAGUCGAGCGAAUGGAUUAAGAGCUUGCUCUUAUGAAGUUAGCGGCGGACGGGUGAGUAACACGUGGGUAACCUGCCCAUAAGACUGGGAUAACUCCGGGAAACCGGGGCUAAUACCGGAUAAUAUUUUGAACCGCAUGGUUCAAUAGUGAAAGACGGUUUCGGCUGUCACUUAUAGAUGGACCUGCGCCGUAUUAGCUAGUUGGUAAGGUAACGGCUUACCAAGGCGACGAUACGUAGCCGACCUGAGAGGGUGAUCGGCCACACUGGAACUGAGACACGGUCCAGACUCCUACGGGAGGCAGCAGUAGGGAAUCUUCCGCAAUGGGCGAAAGCCUGACGGAGCAACGCCGCGUGAGUGAUGAAGGUCUUCGGAUCGUAAAACUCUGUUGUUAGGGAAGAACAAAUUUGUUAGUAACUGAACAAGUCUUGACGGUACCUAACCAGAAAGCCACGGCUAACUACGUGCCAGCCGCCGCGGUAA
rnacentral:rRNA from 1 species